rnacentral:rRNA from 1 species
GGACCCGCACAAGUAGUGGAGCAUGUGGUUUAAUUCGAAGAUACGCGCAGAACCUUACCAACACUUGACAUGUUUGUCGCGACUUUAAGAGAUUAAAGUCUUCGGUUCGGCCGGACAAAACACAGGUGCUGCAUGGCUGUCGUCAGCUCGUGUCGUGAGAUGUUGGGUUAAGUCCCGCAACGAGCGCAACCCUCACUUUUAGUUGCCAUCAUUUAGUUGGGCACUCUGAAAGAACUGCCAGUGAUAAGCUGGAGGAAGGUGGGGAUGACGUCAAGUCCUCAUGGCCCUUACGUGUUGGGCUACACACGUGCUACAAUGGCAUUUACAAUAGGAUGCAAGACGGCGACGUCAAGCAAAUCCUAAAAAGAUGCCUCAGUUCGGAUUGUACUCUGCAACUCGAGUACAUGAAGCUGGAAUUACUAGUAA